AAUAACCACCUGUAGCUCCUGACGCGUCUGUCCAUAAAAAAGAGAAAGCGAAAUAACAAUUUGGUGAAAUUCCUUCUCAGGGGAAAAGAACCGACUGGCUGCCGUGCGUGUUAGAGGAAAUACGCAGCUGUCCUCACUCUAGGAGAGUGUACUCAGACAACGAAUCCAGCCCGCCAGCAGCGACUCCUGACUUCCCUUCUCCAUCUGUGGAGAAGCCUCCCAGUGCGUCCUGCGCCUGGGUAGAGCCCUGGUCCCGCUGGGCCAGCUGCGGGUAGGGCUCCAG